rnacentral:lncRNA from 1 species
UAAAAUUCAUUCUGAUUUAUUAUGCUUUGCAUGUAGUAAAUACACUGGGAAGUAACAUUUCUUGUUGCAUUAAUUAAAUACCACUAAUUAUGAUUAAUGUUUAUUCUAAUAAGGUCCCAGGUGAGCUCCCAAAGGAAUGCUUUGUAACAAAGCGUCAGUCUUAUGCUUUAAAAGACAAAACAAAACAAAACAAACGAGAACAAAAAUAGGAUCUAAAGCAUACACACAGGUGUGCACAAGUGUUUUUCUUACUAAGGUAGAGUCUUGCUUUGUUUCCCAAGCUGGUCUCAAACUUCUGGGAUCCUCGAGUGAUCCUCCUGCCUCAGCCUCCUGAGUAGUUUGGAUUACAGGCAUGCAUCACUGGGCCUUCUUAUGCUUUUAAUAUUCUGUACCUUUAUUAUUGAUUUAAAAUGCAUUUUGCCUGUUUCUUUAAUAGAUGUUGGAAGUUCUGAUGAAUCUGCAGUCAGGUAGGAUUGUACAGAUUUAAAAAAUUAUGUUAACCAAGGAAAUAUAGGUGGAAGGAACUAACAUCUGUUGAGUGUUGUAUUCGGGGUAGACAUCCUAUUGCACUUAUCGUCUCAUAAAACCAUCACGACAUCUGUGUUCCUAUCAACUACUGUUUGUUUAAAAAACGAGUAUGGGUUGGAGCAGUGGAUUAAUUGGCUCAUGAUCCUCUAGUUAACAAAGUAGCUGACCCACUUUGUCAGCCUGCCUGCCUUCCAAAUCCCUUCUCUUGUUCCUCAGCAUAGGUAGAUAGACAUCCAUGCAGCACUUGGAACAUGGUAUACAUCUGAAGCAGCUUAAUUAAAUUCAUUAAUUUAAUUAACAUCUAAAUUAAUGAGAGUUUAAAUACCUUCAACACCCAUUUAAGGUUAUCGUUAGAAGGUGGUCAGUCCAGAGUCUGUCAUCAUAAAUUUGACAAUUUCAGUGGGAACCGGGAUCUUCUUUUUGCCAUCAGAAGUUUUAGGGCUGAUCUUACUUAGCUUUGGCCACGAGACUGUAAGUUUUACAAAAGCAAGUUUAGGCAAGUCUUAGAAAGUAUUUGAUUUCUCAGUUUGGCUUUCAUUUAGGCUAGUAUUUCUGCUUACUUCCAUCAUACUUUUGGUAGUCUUGUUUAUUUUUCCAUGAAUUUUCUAUAAUCGUGUCUUGAGGUUUUCAAAACGUUCUUCUCUGUUUUUUUUUUUUUUUUUUUUUUGUCUUUGUUAUUUCUUUAAUUCUAUUCGUUUUUCAAAUUCUGCUGGCUAUGUAUUCCCAGAAUCAGAAGCACAUAGAAUUACAGAAUUUUAAGGAAUCUUAGAAUGAAUUAAAACACGUUCUAGUAUUGUCACGUCUGUUGAACAUUCUGGUCAAGGGAUCGUUUAGAUAGAAAACUUGAGUCUCAGAAAGAUUAGGAUUCAAGAAGACAUAGGAAUUGGAAGAAAUGAGAUUUGUACUCAUGUUAAAUCCCAGUAUUCUUCCUACUUUUUAUAUCCUAUUGGCCUGAGUUUUGGUAAUACAAACGGGAGUGAGUCUCGUGCACCCAGUGUCUAGAAUGAGUGUGGAAUUGACUAGUGAAGCCAAUGAAAGCGGGUAAGAAUGGAAUGGGCAGGGCAAGGCCAAGUUUGAAGAGAAACAAUGAUCGAUCGAUAAAUUCCAAAGAUGACCGACACACAGAAUGUUGGGAAUUAUCUACAAAGGCGCCUUAAAAUAGAAGGUUCAAGGGAGCUCUAAAAACUUUGCUGCCUUUUUUUUUUUUAAUUUAUCAAGGACUGACAGAUUUUUACUGAAAGAUGUUAAAACAUUUUGAGACACUGAAGGAGUGGCUACAGCAGAGAGAAAUCUUCGUGGCACCAUCUACUUCCAUCCUGACUUACAGAAGGUGGUUUAGAGCCCCUGGAAUACUAAGGGGCUGGAGAUUGAUGAACUCUACAUAGCUCUGUGGCCCAGGACAGGUGGUCUCCUCACCUCUGC